rnacentral:lncRNA from 1 species
UUUUUAACUAUUGAAAAUUCACCUGAGAUUAAGACCAGCAUGGUCUGAUAUUAUAUUUAUGGUUCACUUCGUUUCUAAUUAAUUUUCUAUGUAGUUUAUUCCUCUCUCAAAUCAAGUUGAUACAUCACCCACCAACCUAACUACAACCUAAGACUAUUACUGUGUUGUAUGUAGGUUACUAGAUUGUGGUCAUGAAUAGACAAGCUACCUUACCAUCUAAACUGUCAACGCCCACCUCCUCUGUCCAACGGCCUUAUGAAAAUGCCAAUACGCCACUUCUAUUCUAUAAAAUUUCCAAUAGACUAUUGCUCUACGUUAAGCCCAUAUGGGUUGAUAGGAACGUGAGGGGUGGAGAGAAAUGGAAAGGAUAGAGGAUAAUAAAGGAUGGGUGAAAAAGAAAAUCAAUCCCAAGUUCCCAACCCAUUGUUUAGUUUAACAUAAUGCUACGUUUACUUGGAAAUCAGACUCCCAUUCCCUGCAUUUUUUAUUCUACCCAUGUUAAUUUUGUAUUAUUCCAAAAAUACCCUCAUUUUAGAUAAAAAAAAUAUAAAAAGCGAAAAAUAAAAAAAAUCCCUAAAACCUAAACUCUCUCACCCGUGCCUCCCAAUCAAAUGCCAUCAGAGCUGCUUCCAUCACCAUCGCAGCCAUCACCGUCUUUGACGUCCUGGUUCGUCGGCUGUGGACACCUGCUCGUCGCCGGUUUCGUCUCCGUUGGGCCGUGUCGAUUUUGUCACCGUCUCGAUUUCGCCCCCAUCUCAUUUCGUCUCCGAUUUCGUCUUUAAUGGCGAUGGUUCUGAUAUGAUGCUGCUGCUACUGUUAACGACGAUGAUUGUUGUUGCCAUUGUUGUUGAUGACGAUGACAAUUGAGAUUUUGAUUGUUGCUAUUUUUUUUUUUGGGAAAUGGAUUAUUUUUGUUGAUGAUGAUUAUUUGGGAAAUGGAUUAAUUUGAUGAUGAUGAUUGUUAUUAUUAUUAUUAUUUUGGAAAUGGAUUAUUUUGUUGAUGAUGAUGAAUCCGAUUAUGAUUAUUAUUAUUUUUUGAAAUGGAUUAUUAUUUUGCUGAUGAUGAUAUUUUUUAUUUUGAUUAUUGUUAUUAAUUUUAUU